GGCGGAGCUUCAUGCCUCAGGGAGAGCACACUGAACAUGAGCCUCCACAGGCACCGCUCGCCAGCUAAGCGAUUCCGCAUCUCCUCAAGCUGACAAUGAGGCUUCCAACAGUGAGCUGACCUGCUGAUCAAGACAGCCGGUGAAGGGCUGCGCUGUGCCCACUGACAGCAAAUGGUGUCAAGCUCUGCUAUGCAUUGCCCCUGGACUGUAACAAGGCGGCCAGAAUGACUGCUCAGGAAGAAAAGAUUGUCAAUUAAAAUGGCCAAAGAAAUUCAAGAGAAAGAUGAUGAAAGAAAAACGAGUCCCUAAGUCAGCAGUUCCAGCACAGAGAGCUUCUGCCUGCACUAACACUGGAAAACUGGGGUAGAUCGGGUGGCUGUGUGCUAGUGCAGAAGAAGAUGGUGUUCUGUCUGAGGAAGAUGGAAACCCAGAAAAGCAGAUCCCAAGGAGAAAAGGUUGGUCCUGUACUGGCAAAACCAGCAAAAUCAAGAAUCAAGAAUCCCAACUUCACCUGAGUGAGGUUUCUGAAAGAUCCCCCUUGGGUUCCUACAGCAGGGCCCUGGAUCUGUGUUUCCAGCUCCACUCCACUGCUGCUGACCCCAGCCGUUGAAAGGGCAGGAGCCUAGCAUAACUGUCUUCUGAGAGGCUUCAUUCAGCAGCUGAUGGAAACAAAUGUGGAGACCCACAGCCAAACAAUAGAUGGAGCUUGGGGAGUUUUGUGGAAGAAUGGGAGGAAGAAUUGAGGGAGCUGGAGGGAUCAAGGACACCAUAAGAAGACCUACAGAGUCAACUAACCUGGGCCCAUGGGAGCUCACAGAGACUGAACCACUAACCAAAGAGCUUUCAUGGGCUGGACCUAGACCCCUACACGUAUACAACAAAGUUCUUCAUGUGGGUUCCCUAACAAUUAGAGCAGGGGCUGUCUGUGACUCUAUUACCUGCCUCUGGAUCCCUUUCCUCUAACUCUAUUACCUCCCCUAGGUGAGCUGCCUUGUCUGGCCUCAGUGGGAGAGGAUGUACCUAGUCCUGCUGCAACUUGAUGUACUGGGUGGGUUGGUACCCAUGGGGGGGGGGCUCCUACUCUCUGAGGAUAAGGGGAUGUAGGAUGAGGGAGCGGUGGGAGGAUGAAAGGGUGGGACUAGGAGGAGAGGAGGUAGGGG